rnacentral:lncRNA from 1 species
GGUCCUUGAAAUCGGACAAUUCAGGUUCGUACGAAGUUCGUUCUGAAAUGGGGUGAUUGGUGUAUUGUAUUGUUCUAGAGAUUGGAUUUCACUAAAAACCCACCAAAUGACUCCUCCCACAAUAUUAUGAUGUUCCCCAUGUUUUGGACUCAAUCCGAUAUCGAUUGGUCCUUGAAAUCGGACAAUUCAGGUUCGUUCGAAGUUCGUUCUGAAAUGGAGUGGCUGGUGUAUUGUAUAGUUCUAGGGAUUGUAUUUCACUCAAAACCCACCAAAUGACUCCUCCCACAAUAUUAUGAUGUUCCCCAAGUUUUGAACUUAAUCCGAUAUCGAUUGGUCCUUGAAAUCGGACAAUUCAGGUUCGUACGAAGUUCGUUCUGAAAUGGAGUGGUUGGUGUAUUGUAUAGUUCUAGGGAUUGUAUUUCAAUCAAAACCCAUCAAAUGACAACUCCAACAAUAUUAUGAUGUUCCCCAAGUUUUGGACUCAAUCCGAUAUCGAUUGGUCCUUCAAAUCGGACAGUUCAGAUUCUUACGACGUUCUUUCCGAAAUGGUGUGGUUGUUGUGUUGUCUAGUUCUAGGGAUUGGAUUUCACUCAAAACCCAUCAAAUGACAACUCCCACAAUAUUAUGAUGUUCCCCAAGUUUUGGACUCAAUCCGAUAUCGAUUGGUUCUUGAAAUCGGACAAUUCAGGUUCGUACGAAGUUCAUUCCGAAAUGGGGUGGUUGGUGUAUUGUAUAGUUCUAGAGAUUGGAUUUCAUUCAAAACCCACCAAAUGACUCCUCCCACAAUAUUAUGAUGUUCCCCAAGUUUUGGACUCAAUCCGAUAUCGAUUGGUCCUUGAAAUCGGACAAUUCAGUUCGUACGAAGUUCGUUCAGAAAUGGGGUGGUUGGUGUGUUCUAGGGAUUGGAUUUCUCUCAAAACCCAUCAAAUGACAACUACCACAAUAUUAUGAUGUUCCCCAAGUUUUGGACUCAAUCCGAUAUCGAUUGGUCCUUGGAAUCGGGACAAUUCGGGGAUCGGACGAAGGUUAGUUCCGAAAUGGUGUGAUUGGUGUGUUGUAUAGUUCUGGGGAUUGGAUUUCACUCAAAACCCAUCAAAUGACAACUCCCUCAAUAUUAUGAUGUUCCCCAGGUUUUGGACUUAAUCCGGUAUCGAUUGGUCCUUGAAAUCGGAUAAUUCAGGUUCGUACGAAGUUCGUUCUGAAAUGGGGUGAUUGGUGUAUUGUAUUGUUCUAGAGAUUGGAUUUCACUAAAAACCCACCAAAUGACUCCUCCCACAAUAUUAUGAUGUUCCCCACGUUUUGGACUCAAUCCGAUAUCGAUUGGUCCUUGAAAUCGGACAAUUCAGGUUCGUACGAAGUUUGUUCUGAAAUGCGGUGAUUGGUGUAUUGUAUUGUUCUAGAGAUUCGAUUUCACUAAAAACCCACCAAAUGACUCCUCCCACAAUAUUAUGAUGUUCCCCAAGUUUUGGAUUCAAUCCGAUAUCGAUUGGUCCUUGAAUCGGACAAUUCAGUUUCGUACGAAGUUCGUUCUGAAAUGGGGUGGUUGGUGUAUUGCAUAGUUCUAGAGAUUUGAUUUCAUUCCAAACCCACCAAAUGACUCCUCCCACAAUAUUAUGAUGUUCCCCAAGUUUUGGACUCAAUCCGAUAUCGAUUGGUCCUUGAAAUCGGACAAUUCAGUUUCGUACGAAGUUCGUUCUGAAAUGGGGUGGUUGGUGUAUUGUAUAGUUCUAGAGAUUUGAUUUCAUUCAAAACCCACCAAAUGACUCCUCCCACAAUAUUAUGAUGUUCCCCAAGUUUUGGACUCAAUCCGAUAUCGAUUAGUACUUGAAAUCGGACAAUUCAGGUUCGUACGAAGUUCGUUCUGAAAUGCGGUGGUUGGUGUAUUGUAUAGUUCUAGAGAUUGGCUUUCACUCAAAAUCCACUCCCACAAUAUUAUGAUGUUCCCCAAGUUUUGGACUCAAUCCGAUAUCGAUUGGGGCUUGAAAUCGGACAUUUCAGGUUCGUACGAAGUUCGUUCCGAAAUGUAGUGGUUGGUGUAUUGUAUAGUUCUAGGGAUUUUAUUUCACUCAAAACCCACCAACUGACUCCUCCCACAAUAUUAUAAUGUUCCCCAAGUUUUGCACUUAAUCCGGUAUCCAUUGGUCCUUGAAAUCGGACAAUUCACGUUCGUACAAAGUUCGUUCUGAAAUGGGGUGGUUGGUGUAUUGUAUAGUACUAGAGAUUGGAUUUCACUCAAAACCCACCAACUGACUCCUCCCACAAUAUUAUGAUGUUCCCCAAGUUUUGGACUCAAUCCGAUAUCGAUUGGUCCUUGAAAUCGGACAAUUCAGGUUCGUACGAAGUUCGUUCUGAAAUGGGGUGGUUGGUGUAUUGUAUAGUUCUAGAGAUUGGAUUUCACUCAAAACCCACCAAAUGACUCCUCCCACAAUAUUAUGAUGUUCCCCAAGUUUUGGACUCAAUCCGAUAUCUAUUGGGGCUUGAAAUCGGACAAUUCAGGUUCGUACGAAGUUCGUUCUGAAAUGGAGUGGUUGGUGUAUUGUAUAGUUGUAGGGAUUAUAUUUCACUCAAAACCCACCAAAUGACUCCUCCCACAAUAUUAUGAUGUUCCCAAGUUUUGGACUCAAUCCGAUAUCGAUUGGGACUUGAAAUCGGACAAUUCAGGUUCGUACCAAGUUCGUUCUGAAAUGGAGUGGUUGGUGUAUAGUGUAGUUCUAGGGAUUGUAUUUCACUCAAAACCCACCAAAUGCCUCCUCCCACAAUAUUAUGUCGUUCCCCAAGUUUUGGACUCAAUCCGAUAUCGAUCAGUCUACGAAAUAUAACAAUUUAGGUUCGUACGAAGUUCGUUCUGAAAUGGAGUGGUUGGUGUAUUGUAUAGUUCUAAAGAUUGGAUUUCACUCAAAACCCACCAAAUGACUCCUCCCACAAUAUUAUGAUGUUCCCCAAGUUUUGAACUCAAUCCGAUAUCGAUUGGUCCUUGAAAUCGGACAAUUCAGGUUCGUACGAAGUUCGUUCG